rnacentral:rRNA from 1 species
ACGCUCGACACCUACGGGAGGCGGCAGUGGGGGAAUAUUGCACAAUGGGGGAAACCCUGAUGCAGCGACGCCGCGUGAGCGAAGAAGUAUUUCGGUAUGUAAAGCUCUAUCAGCAGGGAAGAAGAAAGACGGUACCUGACUAAGAAGCCCCGGCUAACUACGUGCUAGCAGCCGCGGUAAUCUGAGCGGGCUGGCAAGGC